GCACUGUGUAUUCGGUUGAAUUUCAAAUCAAGUUGAGCGGGUCUGCAUCGUUAUUUUGACGAAGUUUGAAACCAGUGGUAAUUUUUUGACACUUCAUCUAGAUUUAAGAAGAUUCUUGCCUGAACAACUGCUCGAACUCCCGGGUUGACAUGCUCUAAAGGUAUAGUGAAUUCAGUAUGCAGAUUAUUGAAGGGAAAACAUCAAGAAGGGGCGAGGAAGACAACAAAACAUGAUUACCCAGAUUGAGGAUCCCAGUGUUCUUUGUCUCAAGCUACUCAGCCUACCAUGAGAAAAUUAAAAGAUCUGUCAUGAAGAAGAGGCUGGUUCUCAACUUUCAUAUUAUAAAUGGCAAGUAUUGUUUAGAACUAAAUUUAGAUUAUUCUUGAUAAAAAAUAACAUAAGGGUGUUUGUCAAUUCAUAGCUAUUAUUUGUGAUUGCACUGUGUAUUAAUUUUCAAAAUCAAUUCAUUCUCUUGUGACCAAGUGCAGCAGUUUGCUUCAAACUCAUAAUUUUUUACAAAAAAUAUUGACUAUAUUUGUCCAUAUGUACAAAAUGUUAAUCACGGUAUGAAUUCUAUUUCAGCAUGAUUGCCAUUUUCAAUUUGAGGGACUCUCACCUAAAGUUCUUUUACUGUUCCAUAUCAGGAAAAAAGGUCAUGAGCUGAAACAUGCGAUUGGGGAAAAAGGAAAAGCAUUAGGAAAAUGCCUGCAUGGGGAUAAAAGUUUUGAACUCUGAAAAGGGAGGUGUGACAAAAACAUUUGACAAUUGUUGAUUUCCACUAAAACCAAUAUCAACAAGAAAGAGGACAUAAAAUAGUUUUAUGUUGAUUCACAACUUUAAUUUUAAGAAUGAACAGUUGGUUUUAUUAUAAAACAUGUCACAUACAAAAAAAAACAUAUUUGUAAAAUGUACUUUGUCUUUGAUAUGUAUGUAAUUUGCAGGAUAGGAUGUGGGCAACAUAUACUGCCAAGAAUCUUGAUAAUUUUGAUUUUAUGUUUGUAAAAAAUAAUGUUUUGUAUUGUAAUAAACAAAGUUUAAGUCAGCUUUUUCUUAAUAUGUUUAUUAAUUAUGAUGUUUACAUUUCCGCAACUUAUCAAUUUGGAAGGAAAACUUAUUCAUAAUUUGAAUAAGGCUUCAUUCACUGGAAUGGAAAACGGAAAUUAUUAACUUUUGUGUUUAUUAAAGAUGGUAUUUAAUUAAAUUUAAGGUUUGUAAUUAUCAGAUUGUGGUUAUUAAAGAUGGUAUUUAAUUAAAUUUAAGGUCUGUAAUUAUCAGAUUUAAUAUAUCCUAAAUACUGUGUUUAAUGGUUGUAAAUAUUAACUUUACUUUUUUGUAAAGUCAAGACAAUGUGGGACAUUACAUCAUAUUUAAGUGCAUGUAAAGUUAAUGUAAAGGUUACCUUUUCCAACUUUGACUUUUUUCAGAAAAGCCAAUUAAAGGCAUUGUAAAUAAUAAA